rnacentral:tRNA from 1 species
UGUGCGUAAUUUAAAAAAAAUAUCAAGCUGUGAUCCUGACAAUAGGGCGUUCGUCCUCACACACCA